rnacentral:rRNA from 1 species
GGUUAAGCGAAUAAGCGUACACGGUGGAUGCCUAGGCAAUCAGAGGCGAUGAAGGACGUGCUAAUCUGCGAAAAGCGUCGGUAAGGUGAUAUGAACCGUUAUACCCGACGAUAUCCGAAUGGGGAAACCCAGUAUCCAAUGGAUACUAUCAUUAACUGAAUCCAUAGGUUAAUGAGGCGAACCGGGAGAACUGAAACAUCUCAGUACCCCGAGGAAAAGAAAUCAACCGAGAUUCCCCUAGUAGCGGCGAGCGAACGGGGAGCAGCCCAGAGUCUUAAUCAAUAACAGUGUCAGGAGAACGGUCUGGAAAGUCCGGCAGUAAAGGGUGAUAGCCCCGUAUCUGAAGAUGCUGUUAUUGUGAACUCGACGAGUAGGGCGGGACACGUGUUAUCCUGUCUGAAUAUGGGGGGACCAUCCUCCAAGGCUAAAUACUCCUGAUUGACCGAUAGUGAACCAGUACCGUGAGGGAAAGGCGAAAAGAACCCCGGCGAGGGGAGUGAAAAAGAACCUGAAACCGUGUACGUACAAGCAGUAGGAGCCUCUUUAUGGGGUGACUGCGUACCUUUUGUAUAAUGGGUCAGCGACUUAUAUUCUGUAGCAAGGUUAACCGCAUAGGGGAGCCGUAGGGAAACCGAGUCUUAACUGGGCGAAUGAGUUGCAGGGUAUAGACCCGAAACCCGGUGAUCUAUCCAUGGGCAGGUUGAAGGUUGGGUAACACUAACUGGAGGACCGAACCGACUAAUGUUGAAAAAUUAGCGGAUGACUUGUGGAUGGGGGUGAAAGGCCAAUCAAACCGGGAGAUAGCUGGUUCUCCCCGAAAGCUAUUUAGGUAGCGCCUCGUGAAUUCAUCUUCGGGGGUAGAGCACUGUUUCGACUAGGGGGUCAUCCCGACUUACCAACUCGAUGCAAACUGCGAAUACCGAAGAAUGUUAUCACGGGAGACACACGGCGGGUGCUAACGUCCGUCGUGAAGAGGGAAACAACCCAGACCGCCAGCUAAGGUCCCAAAGUCAUGGUUAAGUGGGAAACGAAGUGGGAAGGCUCAGACAGCCAGGAUGUUGGCUUAGAAGCAGCCAUCAUUUAAAGAAAGCGUAAUAGCUCACUGGUCGAGUCGGCCCGCGCGGAAGAUGUAACGGGGCUAAACCAUGCACCGAAGCUGCGGCAGCGACACAAAGUGUUGUUGGGUAGGGGAGCGUUCUGUAAGCCUGCGAAGGUGUACUGUGAGGUAUGCUGGAGGUAUCAGAAGUGCGAAUGCUGACAUAAGUAACGAUAAUGCGGGUGAAAAACCCGCACGCCGGAAGACCAAGGGUUCCUGUCCAACGUUAAUCGGGGCAGGGUGAGUCGACCCCUAAGGCGAGGCUGAAAAGCGUAGUCGAUGGGAAACGGGUUAAUAUUCCCGUACUGGUGGUAACUGCGAUGGGGGAACGGAGAAGGCUAGGUUGUCCGGGCGACGGUCGUCCCGGUUCAAGCAGGUAGGCAGAGUGAUUAGGCAAAUCCGGUCACUUAAUGCUGAGAUGUGAUGACGAACCACCAAGGUGGUGAAGCAAUUGAUGCCCCGCUUCCAGGAAAAGCCUCUAAGCUUCAGGUUACCAACAAUCGUACCCCAAACCGACACAGGUGGUCAGGUAGAGAAUACUCAGGCGCUUGAGAGAACUCGGGUGAAGGAACUAGGCAAAAUGGUGCCGUAACUUCGGGAGAAGGCACGCUGGCGGUAGGUAAAGUCCCUCGCGGACGGCGCUGAAGCCAGUCGAAGAUACCAGCUGGCUGCAACUGUUUAUUAAAAACACAGCACUGUGCAAACACGAAAGUGGACGUAUACGGUGUGACGCCUGCCCGGUGCUGGAAGGUUAAUUGAUGGGGUCAGCCGUAAGGCGAAGCUCCUGAUCGAAGCCCCAGUAAACGGCGGCCGUAACUAUAACGGUCCUAAGGUAGCGAAAUUCCUUGUCGGGUAAGUUCCGACCUGCACGAAUGGCGUAAUGAUGGCCAGGCUGUCUCCACCCGAGACUCAGUGAAAUUGAACUCGCUGUGAAGAUGCAGUGUACCCGCGGCAAGACGGAAAGACCCCGUGAACCUUUACUAUAGCUUGACACUGAACAUUGAGCCUUGAUGUGUAGGAUAGGUGGGAGGCUUUGAAGUGUGGACGCCAGUCUGCAUGGAGCCAACCUUGAAAUACCACCCUUUAACGUUUGAUGUUCUAACCUAGGCCCAUAAACUGGGUCGGGGACCGUGUCUGGUGGGUAGUUUGACUGGGGCGGUCUCCUCCUAAAGAGUAACGGAGGAGCACGAAGGUUGGCUAAGCAUGGUCGGACAUCAUGCGGUUAGUGCAAAGGCAUAAGCCAGCUUGACUGCGAGAGUGACGGCUCGAGCAGGUACGAAAGUAGGUCUUAGUGAUCCGGUGGUUCUGAAUGGAAGGGCCAUCGCUCAACGGAUAAAAGGUACUCCGGGGAUAACAGGCUGAUACCGCCCAAGAGUUCAUAUCGACGGCGGUGUUUGGCACCUCGAUGUCGGCUCAUCACAUCCUGGGGCUGAAGUAGGUCCCAAGGGUAUGGCUGUUCGCCAUUUAAAGUGGUACGCGAGCUGGGUUUAGAACGUCGUGAGACAGUUCGGUCCCUAUCUGCCGUGGGCGUUGGAAGAUUGAGAGGGGUUGCUCCUAGUACGAGAGGACCGGAGUGAACGCACCACUGGUGUUCGGGUUGUCAUGCCAAUGGCAUUGCCCGGUAGCUAAGUGCGGAAGAGAUAACCGCUGAAAGCAUCUAAGCGGGAAACUUGCCUCGAGAUGAGUCUUCCCUGUCGCUUUAAGCGACCUAAAGGAACGUUUAAGACUAAGACGUUGAUAGGCUGGGUGUGUAAGCGUAGCGAUACGUUGAGCUAACCAGUACUAAUGAACCGUGAGGCUUAACCUG